UCUACGGGAGGCUGCAGUGGGGAAUAUUGCACAAUGGGGGGAACCCUGAUGCAGCGACGCCGCGUGAGCGAUGAAGUAUCUCGGUAUGUAAAGCUCUAUCAGCAGGGAAGAAAAUGACGGCACCUGACUAAGAAGCCCCGGCUCACUACGAGCCAGCAGCCGCGGCAAUACGUAGGGGGCAAGCGUUAUCCGGAUUUACUGGGUGGAAAGGGGGCGUAGACGGCUGUGAAAGUCUGGAGUUAAAGGCAUGGGCUCAACCUGUGGAGUGCUUUGGAAACUGUGCGGGUUGAGUGUGCGAGAGGCAAGUGGAAUUCGUGGUGUAGCGGUGAAAUGCAUAGAUAUGAGGAAGAACUCCGGUUGCGAAGGCAGCUUGCUGGAGGACGACUGACGUUCAGGCACGAAAGCGUGGGGAGCAAACAGGAUUAGAGACCCUAGUAGGC
rnacentral:rRNA from 1 species